rnacentral:piRNA from 1 species
UAGUGCCUGUUUCCGCAAACCAGUGU